AUGUCCCCAGGUGUGUCUCAGGUGUGCCUUGACAUCCCCAGGUGUGUCCCAGAUGUCCCCCAGGUGUGUCCCAAAUGUCCCCAAGGUGCCUCAGGUGUGUCCCAGGUGUCCCUUCCCCACUCCAGCUGUGUCCCAGGUGUCCCAGGUGUGUCCCCAGGUGUGUCCCAAUGUCCCCAGGUGUGUCCCAGGUGUCCCCAAAUGUCCCCCAGAUGUCCCCAGGUGUGUCCCAGGUGUCCCCAGGUGUCCCCAGGUGUGUCCCAGAUGUCCCCAGGUGAGUCCCAGGUGUCCCCAGGUGUCCCCAGGUGUGUCCCCAGGUGUCCCCAGGUGUCCCCAGGUGUCCCCAGGUGUGUCUCAGGUGUCCCCAGGUGUCCCCAGGUGUCCCCACCUGGCUAUGCGCUCCUUCAUCUGCACCACGGACGCCUCCGUGGCCGAAUCCAGGGAAUCCCUGCGGAAAAGGACCCAAAAAACUCCAAAAGAAUUCCCAAAUUUUGGGGCAAAUCCAGAGAAAACCAAAAAAAUUCCCAAAUUUCGGGGCAAAUCCAGCCAAAAUUCCCAAAUUUUGGGGCAAAUCCAGCCAAAAUUCCCAAAUUUUGGGACAAAUCCAGCCAAAAUUCCCAAAUUUUGGGGCAAAUCCAGCCAAAAUUCCCAAAUUUCGGGGCAAAUCCAGCAAAAACCCCAAAUUUCGGGACAAAUCCAGCCAAAAUUCCCAAAAGGACCCAAAAAAUUCCAAAAGAAUUCCCAAAUUUUGGGGCAAAUCAAGAGAAAACCAAAAAAUCCCCAAAUUUCGGGGCAAAUCCAGCCAAAAUUCCCCAAAUUUCGGGGCAAAUCCAGCCAAAAUUCCCAAAUUUCGGGGCAAAUCCAGCCAAAAUUCCCAAAUUUUGGGGCAAAUCCAGCCAAAAUCCCCAAAUUUCGGGGCAAAUCCAGCCAAAAUUCCCAAAUUUCAGGACAAAUCCAGCCAAAAUUCCCAAAAGGACCGAAAAAAUUCCAAAAGAAUUCCCAAAUUUUGGGGCAAAUCCAGAGAAAACCCAAAAAAUCCCCAAAUUUCAGGGCAAAUCCAGCCAAAAUCCCCAAAUUUCGGGGCAAAUCCAACCAAAAUUCCCCAAAUUUCGGGGCAAAUCCAGCCAAAAUUCCCAAAUUUCGGGGCAAAUCCAGCCAAAAUUCCCAAAUUUCGGGACAAAUCCAGCCAAAAUUCCCAAAUUUCGGGGCAAAUCCAACCAAAAUUCCCCAAAUUUUGGGGCAAAUCCAGCCAAAAUUCCCAAAUUUCGGGGCAAAUCCAGCCAAAAUCCCCAAAUUUCGGGACAAAUCCAGCCAAAAUUUCCAAAAGGACCAAAAAAAUUCCAAAAAAUUCCCAAAUUUUGGGGCAAAUCCAGAGAAAACCCCAAAAAUUCCCAAAUUUCGGGGCAAAUCCAGCCAAAAUCCCCAAAUUUCAGGGCAAAUCCAGCCAAAAUUCCCAAAAGGACCCAAAAAAUUCCAAAAAAUCCCCAAAUUUCAGGGCAAAUUCCCAAAUUUUGGGGCAAAUCCAGCCAAAAUCCCCACAGGAAAAGCUCCGGGAUUGCCUCAAAACCCAUCCCCAAAUUCCCAAUUUUUUUUUUUUGGGGAUUUCCGUGGAUUUUUGGCCCCUCCCAGCCUGGAAAUUCCCAAAUUUUGGGGGAUUUUGCCCCAAAUCCUGACCCCGGGGGCGGCUCCACGCAAUCCUCCAGGGUCCCAUCCAGGAGCAGCCUCUGGAGCAGCCGCCGGAAUUCCUCGGUUUUUACCUGGACUGGGGGGGAAAAAACCAGGAUUAGAAACCCCCCCUGUAAUUAA
ensembl:lncRNA